GAGGAUCUCUCAGUUAAAGUAAGCAGAUUUGAUUCAUUCAGUCUGCAGCAUGUUAGUGACAGAGAGCAGUGAAGGAUUAGUGUAUUGUUGCUGAUGGACGUACUGCUAUAGUAGUGACGACCUAAGCACUUAUAUUUAGCUUUCCAUUACUUUAAGUUCUUAUCAUUUACUGGUCAUUAGAAACACCUUCACCAUUGUAUCUGCAAUUAGUGUAAAUCAGCUGAUGGUUGUUUGGUGUUUGUAGUGCUGACGUGGUCAUUAAAGCAAAAAGGUAAAGGUUAAAGGUGUAAUGAGAAGCAUGUGGGCAACAAAUGAGUUGGCAGAUUAAUUACGAGACAGGUCUAUUAGUUACAUCAGUGUUUCAAAAUAUGUAUAUAGUCACAUUAGUCUUUUAAGCGAGUCCCUAUCUGCCUGUUAAACAGUGGUGAUGUGUUCAAAUGCUUGUUUGGUGGUUAAUGAGGCCAUUUUCACUGUUGGCCAGGGCCAGACUCAUCACAGCAGCACAAUGACAUGACAAAUGCCGACUUAUGUAACCAACACAAGCCCCUUUCAGCCUGGUCUCAUCUGAAGCCCUGCAGGUUGCUUAUUGUUAGAAUUCAUCUGCACAGAGAACACACUUUAUUCUCCCAACACAAAUGAUGUAAAUGUAGUAUAGAACAGUACAGUCAUUUAUUUAGUGAGCUAAAUAAAGGGACGUUUUCACCAGCAUUUAGACCAAACCUGACCGUUUUGUACUAAAUUCUGCCUUGGAGAAAAAAACAGAGCCUGUGGGCCUUUACCAAGGGAACUAAAACAGAAGCACAGACACACAGAGACGAUACACAAACAGAAAGUAGGCCAGCUCCCAAAACACACAGAGAAACGCUAAAGUCAUCCCCUCUCCCUAGCGAACAAGGGAUAUGUGGACACUUGUGAGAGCGGUGCUCUGGGAUCAAGUCGUCAAAGUCAGGCGGUUCAUUUCUUUUUUUCUUUCUUAAUUUUCUUUUAGUUGCAAGAUGACUGCCCCUAACCGGAGUCCUGACCUGCUUUACAGUGAAUCAGAGGUGAAAUGUUUGUUAUGCUACAUGAGGAGGUUUCAGUUAAUUGUAUUUUUGGGCAUCAAAGGCCAAUAAGGCCACAUUAAGCAGGUUAAUAGAAACGCACCUUAUAACAUAAUUAAAGGUUCCUUAUUUUCCUCUUCUCCUGUGUUUUAUUUGAAUCCAUAAAAGGCAUGACUGAGAGCGCAGACUGCUUUGUUGUGACAUCACAAAGUUAGAGAAGUCCUGAAGGUUCAUUUUAAGGCUCAGUUUCUGAGUAUAGGCUGUGUGCAUUUCACUGUGCACUGAGGCUUUGAUACUUUCACAGUAUUAAUAUAGAACCUAGACCUGCUUAUUAAUCAAACAAAACAUGGACACCUACCUUUAUACUAUAUGAGACCUUUAAACAUCUACAAUUGAGUGUGUCUUUGUGGUUGCACAUUGAAUACAAUGAAAGCUUUUCAUUCAUCAUUGAUGUCAUAUGUGUUGCAAGUAGUAACAUGUCUGAAUAAAAAUGAACUACAUUUACACAAUAUAGCUGUAAAGUGUUUAAAUAAACUGUUGCAUAAUUAUUAACUUAAGAGGUGAAAAGCUGGUGGGAGGGAUUUUGUUAUGACACUAAAGAAUGUGAUUUGCCAUUCCCCUUGAUACACUGUGAUGAAUCAUCUGGUACACUAUACUGUAGCUGAUGCAUGCUGGGAGAAUGUGUCACCUGAUACGGCCUUAUGUUGUGUAGGUGUGUCAGGCACCCAUAAACACAUACAAACAAUGACAAAACACACAAUGAGAGUGGGACAGUGUAAAUCAAGGCUGGUGUAGAUACACUAUUAGCCAAUAGUCAGGCAGAGUGGGUGGGGAUUAUUCAGCGAGUUUGAAGCAGGACAUCCUGCAGCCGAGGGAGGAGUGUAUGAAUGAGCCAGAGAGGGAGUCUGUUGGGAGUGACACGCAGGCCUCCAAACCACAGACACUGGAGAAAGGCAGGCAGGCAGACACACACACACACACACACACACACACACACACGAUCACUCUCACAAAAAUCCUUCAACCCAGCUUCAACUCCUUCCUUGCACUGGGAGAGGCAUGCAAACUGCACAGUGUCUCCACAACGGGCUCAUUUCCACUCUAAUCUAAUGAUGUCAAGAAUAUGUGCGUGUGUACAGAAGGAAUCUAUGGAAUGUAAACAAGACUUAAAGGUUUCCUAUUGACUUCACAAAGGCAGCAAUUACUCUGAGAAAUGAGAGGGCACAGAGCGAGACUGUAGCUUCGCCACGUGCACAGAUGAAAUGAGAAGAAAGAAGAGGAGGCUGGUGGAGAGGGAGAGCCACCGAGAGGUCCAGACACAGCUGACGAUGAGAGAGCAGGAGAGUCUGGAGCCCUGUGACUGAAAAAAGACCGCACGCUGAUCUGAGCUUUGUUUGUGUUUGUUGAGAUUUUAUCUCAGGCUAUGAGACGUGAAGCCGAGGAAGUGGAGUGAACAGUGUGUGGACUCUGCUUUAUUCAACCUGUCCCUGCUGGAUAACUAAGACUAGCUAACAGCUGUCUGCAGAUAUCAGGCUGAUGUCUUGUAUGAAUUAGAGAGCAGACUAUCAGAUUCUACCCUGUCUAUUCAAAGUGAUCAUUAAAGCGGAUGUGCUGGACAGUUAAAGUAUC